AGUGAACGCUGGCGGCAGGCCUAACACAUGCAAGUCGAACGGCAGCACAAGAGAGCUUGCUCUCUGGGUGGCGAGUGGCGGACGGGUGAGGAAUGCAUCGGAAUCUGCCCAUUUGUGGGGGAUAACCUCGGGAAACCGGGACUAAUACCGCAUACGACCUACGGGUGAAAGCAGGGGAUCUUCGGACCUUGCGCAGAUGGAUGAGCCGAUGCCGGAUUAGCUAGUUGGAGGGGUAAAGGCCCACCAAGGCGACGAUCCGUAGCUGGUCUGAGAGGAUGAUCAGCGACACGGGGACGGAGACACGGCCCAGACUCCUACGGGAGGCAGCAGUGGGGAAUAUUGGACAAUGGGCGCAAGCCUGAUCCAGCCAUGCCGCGUGUGUGAAGAAGGCCUUCGGGUUGUAAAGCACUUUUGUUGGGAAAGAAAAGCAGCCGGUUAAUACCCGGUUGUCAUGACGGUACCCAAAGAAUAAGCACCGGCUAACUUCGUG
rnacentral:rRNA from 1 species